rnacentral:rRNA from 1 species
CCUACGGGUGGCAGCAGGGGGGAAUAUUGCGCAAUGGGCGAAAGCCUGACGCAGCGACGCCGCGUGAGGGAUGAAGGUCUUCGGAGCGGAAACCUCUGUCAGCAGGGAAGAACGGUCACGGUGCUAAGCAGCAGUGAAUGGACGGUACCUGCAAAGGAAGCACCGGCUAACUCCGUGCCAGCAGCCGCGGUAAUACGGAGGGUGCGAGCGUUAAUCGGAAUUACUGGGCGUAAAGCGCUCGUAGGCGGUAUGUCAAGUCAAGGGUGAAAGCCCCGCGCUCACCUUGGGAACUGCCUUUGAAACUGGCAAACUGGAGUGUGUUAGAGGUUAGUGGCAUUCCAGGUGUAGCCGUGAAAUCCGUAGAUAUCU